UACGGAGGGUGCAAGCGUUGUUCGGAUUCAUUGGGCGUAAAGGGUGCGUAGGUGGCGCGGUAAGUCGGGUGUGAAAUUUCGGAGCUUAACUCCGAAACUGCAUUCGAUACUGCCGUGCUUGAGGACUGGAGAGGAGACUGGAAUUUACGGUGUAGCGGUGAAAUGCGUAGAUAUCGUAAGGAACACCAGCGGCGAAGGCGGCAUCCUGGCCCUGACCUGACGCUGAGGCGCGAGAGCGUGGGGAGCAAACCGG
rnacentral:rRNA from 1 species